rnacentral:sRNA from 1 species
CUAUAGCUCAGCUGGUUAGAGCGCACGCCUGAUAAGCGUGAGGUCGAUGGUUCAAGUCCAUUUAGGCCCAUUCAAAGUGAAAGCUUUGAUAAAAGGCAAUGAUGGGGGCUUAGCUCAGAUGGGAGAGCGCCUGCUUUGCACGCAGGAGGUCAUCGGUUCGAUCCCGUUAGCCUCCAUUGAGACCUUGUGUCUCAAGGGUUAGUACAUUGAAAACUGAAUAUAAUCUAAAGCAAAAAACCGAGACAAUCGAAAAAACAGAUUGAAGAGCGACCGAGAAGAGAGAGAAACUCAACUUGAAAUAGGUCAAGUAGAAAAGGGCGCAUGGUGAAUGCCUAGGCACUAGAAGCCGAUGAAGGACGUGACGAACCACGAAAGGCUUCGGGGAGCAGUAAGUAAGCGAUGAUCCGGAGAUAUCCGAAUGGGGGAACCCAAUACCGCGAGGUAUUAUCAAGAGCUGUUAAGGCUGUUGAAGGAAGACGCAGUGAACUGAAACAUCUAAGUAGCUGCAGGAAGAGAAAGAAAAAUCGAUUUCCCAAGUAGCGGCGAGCGAACAGGAAAGAGCCCAAACCAGCUGGCUUGCCAGUUGGGGUAGUAGGACUGCAAUAAAGUACUUGAAGCGAUAGCAGAAUUAUCUGGAAAGAUAAGCCAGAGAGGGUGAGAGCCCCGUAAGCGAAAUUGCAGAGAGACUUAGCAGGAUCCUGAGUAGGUCGGGACACGAGGAAUCCCGAUGAAACCGCGAGGACCAUCUCGCAAGGCUAAAUACUAACUAGUGACCGAUAGUGAACCAGUACCGUGAGGGAAAGGAAUCAUCU